rnacentral:rRNA from 1 species
UACGGAGGGUGCAAGCGUUAUCCGGAUUCACUGGGUUUAAAGGGUGCGUAGGUGGGCAGGUAAGUCAGUGGUGAAAUCUCCGAGCUUAGCUCGGAAACUGCCGUUGAUACUAUUUGUCUUGAAUAUUGUGGAGGUAAGCGGAAUAUGUCAUGUAGCGGUGAAAUGCUUAGAUAUGACAUAGAACACCAAUUGCGAAGGCAGCUUACCACACAACGAUUGACGCUGAGGCACGAAAGCGUGGGGAUCAAACAGG